rnacentral:rRNA from 1 species
GACGAACGCUGGCGGCGUGCCUAAUACAUGCAAGUUGAGCGCUGAAGGUUGGUACUUGUACCAACUGGAUGAGCAGCGAACGGGUGAGUAACGCGUGGGGAAUCUGCCUUUGAGCGGGGGACAACAUUUGGAAACGAAUGCUAAUACCGCAUAAAAACUUUAAACACAAGUUUUAAGUUUGAAAGAUGCAAUUGCAUCGCUCAAAGAUGAUCCCGCGUUGUAUUAGCUAGUUGGUGAGGUAAAGGCUCACCAAGGCGAUGAUACAUAGCCGACCUGAGAGGGUGAUCGGCCACAUUGGGACUGAGACACGGCCCAAACUCCUACGGGAGGCAGCAGUAGGGAAUCUUCGGCAAUGGACGAAAGUCUGACCGAGCAACGCCGCGUGAGUGAAGAAGGUUUUCGGAUCGUAAAACUCUGUUGGUAGAGAAGAACGUUGGUGAGAGUGGAAAGCUCAUCAAGUGACGGUAACUACCCAGAAAGGGACAGCUAACUACGUG